rnacentral:rRNA from 1 species
GACGAACGCUGGCGGCGUGCUUAACACAUGCAAGUCGAACGGUAAGGCUCCAGCUUGCUGGGGUUCACGAGUGGCGAACGGGUGAGUAACACGUGGGUGACCUGCCCUGCACUUCGGGAUAAGCCUGGGAAACUGGGUCUAAUACCGGAUAGGACCAUGGUGUGGAUACUGUGGUGGAGAGUUUGUUCGGUGUGGGAUGGGCCCGCGGCCUAUCAGCUUGUUGGUGGGGUAAUGGCCUACCAAGGCGGCGACGGGUAGCCGGCCUGAGAGGGUGGACGGCCACAUUGGGACUGAGACACGGCCCAGACUCCUACGGGAGGCAGCAGUGGGGAAUAUUGCACAAUGGGCGGAAGCCUGAUGCAGCGACGCCGCGUGGGGGAUGACGGCCUUCGGGUUGUAAACUCCUUUCUCCAUCGACGAAGGGUUUCUGACGGUAGAUGGAGAAGAAGCACCGGCUAACUACGUG